GCGUCCCGUAUUCGGGACGCAAGGUGUGUUUUUUUAUCGAUCAGCGUCAAACAUUUGUAUUUAAAGAACUGUGUCGUACAGCUAGGUACUAAUGCCACAUAUCUGUAGAAAGCUAAGAUUCUUCUGAUUCCACUGAUGUAAACCAUUUAAAGAUCCGAUCACCACAGCCGAUACAAUCAACGUAACAGUCAGACAACUUACCAAAAAAAAUGAUUAAGACAGUCGACGUCACUCACCUAAGAAGCAUGAUAUUAAUCCACAGAUCGAUAACAUUCCAACAAAAACGGUGUUGGUACAUUGAUAAAGGUCCAGACGAUCGAAUCCAGUAACAUAAUCACUCCAUAGCACACUAUUUCAUCAAAGAAUAGCCACAGCCAGCUGAUGCGUAAUCUCAGAGUAGCCAGCAGCUAAGUGCCAACUUUGACUUUUUUUCCGUCGUAACUUCUGUUAGAAAGUAAACACAGCGGCUCUCUGGAUUUCAAAAUGGAGGGUGCACUCUAACCUUUAGAUGGACAGCUCAUUCGACCCAAUUGGAGAAGGCAGGGGUUGUCCACAUUCGGCAAAAGCCAACGAGAGCCCUCGUUUACAGACAGUGCGCGCCCUUCUUCUGACGUGGCGAGGCUCAGCCAACUGCAGUCGAUUUUUGUUAUGACUGACUUAUCGUUUAGCCAAUUACAUUUACCAGGAAGUACAUGUCCUCCGCGACCUGAUAGAGAACUAUCAACACACAGCAAGUCACUGCACAACAGCGAACACGUGCUUCCAGAGCAUCUCAUCUCCGUGCGUAACAGUAAGUGAGCACUGGUUUUGAGAUCGGUGCGUAAAAGUUCGGGGGUGUUGCUGUGAGAUCCGUGUGCAGAAUUCAGUCUUGCUAUGGAGCGUUUUGAAGCUACACUAUGGAGAAACGUUUAGAGAAAUGAAACUUGAUGACCGAACAAGCAAAGGGAUCUGUGUUAUCGGCGUGACAGCAACAAGUCUGAUGAUGACGUAUCAGAGGAAGACAGCGACACGUCGUUUGACUACGAGGCAGACGCCAUGUUUCAGGAAGGACGAGACAUUACUCUUGACAAGUCCAUCGAGGUUCAUGGGUGCUGACAUCCUGAUAGGGCACUACAAAGUCCUCCACAAGCCUCCUCCUGCAGUCGUGACUGCUACAAUGGCUGGCAUGUAUCCAAAAAUUUGAAAGAUGUAUAUUUGAAUAAAUUUUUAACCAUA